GCAUAGGUGGUUCAGUGGUAGGAAGCUCGCCUGCCACCCGGGCGGCCCGGGUUCGAUUCCCGGCCGAUGCA
rnacentral:tRNA from 1 species